GACGAACGCUGGCGGCGUGCCUAAUACAUGCAAGUCGAACGCACAGUUUAUACCGUAGCUUGCUACACCAUAGACUGUGAGUUGCGAACGGGUGAGUAACGCGUAGGUAACCUGCCUGGUAGCGGGGGGUAACUAUUGGAAACGAUAGCUAAUACCGCAUAAUAUUGAUUAUUGCAUGAUAAUUGAUUGAAAGAUGCUAUUGCAUCACUACCAGAUGGACCUGCGUUGUAUUAGCUAGUAGGUGAGGUAACGGCUCACCUAGGCGACGAUACAUAGCCGACCUGAGAGGGUGAUCGGCCACACUGGGACUGAGACACGGCCCAGACUCCUACGGGAGGCAGCAGUAGGGAAUCUUCGGCAAUGGACGAAAGUCUGACCGAGCAACGCCGCGUGAGUGAAGAAGGUUUUCGGAUCGUAAAGCUCGGUUGUAAGAGAAGAACGGGUGUGAGAGUGGAAAGUUCACACUGUGACGGUAUCUUACCAGAAAGAGACGGCUAACUACGUG
rnacentral:rRNA from 1 species